UACGUAGGGCGCAAGCGUUAUCCGGAAUUAUUGGGCGUAAAGAGCGUGUAGGCGGCCAGGUAGGUCUGCUGUGAAAACUCGAGGCUCAACCUCGAGACGUCGGCGGAAACCAUCUGGCUAGAGUCCGGAAGAGGAGAGUGGAAUUCCUGGUGUAGCGGUGAAAUGCGCAGAUAUCAGGAAGAACACCCGUGGUGAAGGCGGCUCUCUGGGACGGUACUGACGCUGAGACGCGAAAGCGUGGGGAGCGAACAGG
rnacentral:rRNA from 1 species